rnacentral:rRNA from 1 species
UUAAGUUAGAAAGGGCGCACGGUGAAUGCCUUGGCACUAGGAGCCGAUGAAGGACGGGACUAACACCGAUAUGCUUCGGGGAGCUGUAAGUGAGCUUUGAUCCGGAGAUUUCCGAAUGGGGAAACCCACUGUUCGUAAUGGAACAGUAUCUUUAUCUGAAUACAUAGGAUAUUGAAGGCAGACCCGGGGAACUGAAACAUCUAAGUACCCGGAGGAAGAGAAAGCAAAUGCGAUUUCCUGAGUAGCGGCGAGCGAAACGGAAUUAGCCCAAACCAAGAGGCUUGCCUCUUGGGGUUGUAGGACACUCUAUACGGAGUUACAAAGGAACGAAGUAAAUGAAGCGACCUGGAAAGGUCCGUCGAAGAAGGUAACAACCCUGUAGUUGAAACUUCGUUCCCUCUUGAGUGGAUCCUGAGUACGGCGGAACACGUGAAAUUCCGUCGGAAGCUGGGAGGACCAUCUCCCAAGGCUAAAUACUACCUAGUGACCGAUAGUGAACCAGUACCGUGAGGGAAAGGUGAAAAGCACCCCGGAAGGGGAGUGAAAGAGAUCCUGAAACCGUGUGCCUACAAGUAGUCAGAGCCCGUUAACGGGUGAUGGCGUGCCUUUUGUAGAAUGAACCGGCGAGUUACGAUCCCAUGCAAGGUUAAGCUGAUAAGGCGGAGCCGUAGCGAAAGCGAGUCUGAAUAGGGCGUUUAGUAUGUGGUUGUAGACCCGAAACCAGGUGAUCUACCCAUGUCCAGGGUGAAGUUCAGGUAACACUGAAUGGAGGCCCGAACCCACGCACGUUGAAAAGUGCGGGGAUGAGGUGUGGGUAGCGGAGAAAUUCCAAUCGAACCUGGAGAUAGCUGGUUCUCUCCGAAAUAGCUUUAGGGCUAGCCUCAUGUUGUGAGAGUCUUGGAGGUAGAGCACUGAUUGGACUAGGGGCCCCCAACGGGUUACCGAAUUCAGUCAAACUCCGAAUGCCAAAGACUUAUCCAUGGGAGUCAGACUGCGAGUGAUAAGAUCCGUAGUCAAAAGGGAAACAGCCCAGACCACCAGCUAAGGUCCCCAAGUAUACGUUAAGUGGAAAAGGAUGUGGAGUUGCUUAGACAACCAGGAUGUUGGCUUAGAAGCAGCCACCAUUUAAAGAGUGCGUAAUAGCUCACUGGUCGAGUGACUCUGCGCCGAAAAUGUACCGGGGCUAAACGUAUCACCGAAGCUGUGGAUUGACAUCUUUGAUGUCAGUGGUAGGAGAGCGUUCUAAGUGCUGUGAAGUCAGACCGUAAGGACUGGUGGAGCGCUUAGAAGUGAGAAUGCCGGUAUGAGUAGCGAAAGACAAGUGAGAAUCUUGUCCACCGAAUGCCUAAGGUUUCCUGAGGAAGGCUCGUCCGCUCAGGGUUAGUCGGGACCUAAGCCGAGGCUGAAAAGCGUAGGCGAUGGCCAACAGGUUGAUAUUCCUGUACCACCUCCCCGCCGUUUGAGUAAUGGGGGGACGCAGUAGGAUAGGGUAAGCGCGCUGCUGGAUAUGCGCGUUCAAGCAGUUAGGCUGAUGAGUAGGCAAAUCCGCUCAUCAUAAAGGCUGAGCUGUGAUGACGAGGGAAUUAUAGUACCGAAGUUCCUGAUUCCACACUGCCAAGAAAAGCCUCUAGCGAGGCGGGAGGUGCCCGUACCGCAAACCGACACAGGUAGGCGAGGAGAGAAUCCUAAGGUGAUCGAGAGAACUCUCGUUAAGGAACUCGGCAAAAUGACCCCGUAACUUCGGGAGAAGGGGUGCUCUGGUAGGGUGUAUAGCCCGAGAGAGCCGCAGUGAAUAGGCCCAGGCGACUGUUUAGCAAAAACACAGGUCUCUGCGAAGCCGCAAGGCGAAGUAUAGGGGCUGACGCCUGCCCGGUGCUGGAAGGUUAAGAGGAGGGGUUAUCCUUUGGGAGAAGCUCUGAAUCGAAGCCCCAGUAAACGGCGGCCGUAACUAUAACGGUCCUAAGGUAGCGAAAUUCCUUGUCGGGUAAGUUCCGACCCGCACGAAAGGCGUAACGAUCUGGGCACUGUCUCAACGAGAGACUCGGUGAAAUUAUAGUACCUGUGAAGAUGCAGGUUACCCGCGACAGGACGGAAAGACCCCGUGGAGCUUUACUGUAGCCUGAUAUUGAAUUUUGGUACAGCUUGUACAGGAUAGGUAGGAGCCUGAGAAGCCGGAGCGCUAGCUUCGGUGGAGGCGUCGGUGGGAUACUACCCUGGCUGUAUUGAAAUUCUAACCCGCGGCCCUGAUCGGGCCGGGAGACAGUGUCAGGUGGGCAGUUUGACUGGGGCGGUCGCCUCCUAAAAUGUAACGGAGGCGCCCAAAGGUUCCCUCAGAAUGGUUGGAAAUCAUUCGUAGAGUGUAAAGGCACAAGGGAGCUUGACUGCGAGACCUACAAGUCGAGCAGGGACGAAAGUCGGGCUUAGUGAUCCGGUGGUUCCGCAUGGAAGGGCCAUCGCUCAACGGAUAAAAGCUACCCCGGGGAUAACAGGCUUAUCUCCCCCAAGAGUCCACAUCGACGGGGAGGUUUGGCACCUCGAUGUCGGCUCAUCGCAUCCUGGGGCUGUAGUCGGUCCCAAGGGUUGGGCUGUUCGCCCAUUAAAGCGGUACGCGAGCUGGGUUCAGAACGUCGUGAGACAGUUCGGUCCCUAUCCGUCGUGGGCGUAGGAAAUUUGAGAGGAGCUGUCCUUAGUACGAGAGGACCGGGAUGGACACACCGCUGGUGUACCAGUUGUCUUGCCAAAGGCAUCGCUGGGUAGCUAUGUGUGGACGGGAUAAGUGCUGAAAGCAUCUAAGCAUGAAGCCCCCCUCAAGAUGAGAUUUCCCAUAGCGCAAGCUAGUAAGAUCCCUGAAAGAUGAUCAGGUUGAUAGGUCAGAGGUGGAAGCGUGGCGACAUGUGUAGCUGACUGAUACUAAUCGAUCGAGGACUUAACC